rnacentral:lncRNA from 1 species
GGUCUCUCUAUGUAGUCCAGGCUGUUCUGGAACUUUCUGUGUAGCUAGGCUGGCUUCAAACUCACAGAGAUCUGCCCCUGCAUCCCAAAUGCUGGGAUUAAAGGUGUGUCCUCCCAUGCUAGGUACUAACUCUAUAGUAAAGGCUGGCUUCAGGUCUUCCCAGAUGUGAGAUUACAGGUGUGUACAUCACACCUUGUGAGAUUACAGGUGUGUACACCACAGCAUGUGAAUCUGUGAAUUGAGCAUAAUCUUAUUUGCAUUUACAGAAGCGCAUGUGCCCUUAGUCAUUCGUAGCAGCAUUGCCUGACUCAUCUCCCUCUCUGCUUCCUACCCCUCCCUCUUUUGAGAAAAGGCUGGCCUCCAAAAGAGCUGCAGCAGUCUUCCUUCCUAUCCAGCCUUCCAUGUGCUAGGGUUGUCAGCAAGCCGACACACUCAGCACUCACUCUUUUCUUUGAGAACAAAACAAAAGUGAAUAUCUCAAAGUAUAACUCUGUCCAUUGUUCCGUAGCAAAGGCUGUUUCCUCCCUUCCACAUUCUAAGGUGAAGAGUAUUCCAUGGUGAAGCAGCGUGAGGCCCUGGGUUCUGUCCCCAGUACCAACAAAGGGAAAGAAGAUGUUAUUUUUUAUCCUUUUUUUUUUUUCUUGUGGUGCUGCAGUUUGCAUCUGGGGCCUUUUGCCAGGCACAUGAGCCACCACUGAGCAUCAUUUCCAGCUAGCUGGUUUCUUUCAGCACGUUGACGGAUGUCGAUGCUUCAUAAUUGACUGAACUAUUGAUAAAUAGUGAAACUAAAAAAAAAAUACAAAUCAUAAAUUCUGUUGAAUGAAGUGUUUUGUGCUCAGUUGGGUGUGGGAUUAUCCACCUGUGGGACAGAUUCAAGAGGCAAAGAGUUUCAUGAUUUUUGCCAUGUUGCCGCCUUUGAAAAAAAUUGAACCUAGCCGCAGUGGUGGCACACACCUUUAAUCCCAGUGCUCAGGAGGCGGAGGCAGGUGGGUCUCUGAGUUCCAGGAUUGCCUGGGCUACAUCAAGAGACACCCUGUCUCAAUCCCUAUGAGCGCCUUUAGUGUUAAGGCUGGGAGGUUUGAUACGUGUAUAAGCGUAAUUUGUGCUUCUAGCUAGACCUCAGGGAGUCUUGAGGCUUUCUUGGUUUACUUCUAAAGCCAACAGAGUAUUUGUUACUUAGGCAAUUAAACUACAAAUCUACUGCCUCAGUUACCCUGUAUUCCAAAGACUCUGAGGGACAAAAUAAGGGAAUUUGUUUACGGUUUUGGCCAUGGAAGAGGAUAAAGAAUCUAAUAUGCUU